rnacentral:rRNA from 1 species
AGACGAUCAGAUACCGUCCUAGUCUCAACCAUAAACGAUGCCGACCAGGGAUCGGCGGAUGUUGCUCUAAGGACUCCGCCAGCACCUUCUGAGAAAUCAGAGUGUUUGGGUUCCGGGNGGUAUGUGCAGAGUCAUAAAGUAAGUAUGACGGAGCACCACGAGUGUGCNCUGCGUAUUAUGCACACGGAACGGUAACUACGCGCACAUAUAGGAGUAUCGAGAGUAUGAAGCUCUUUCUUUGUAUCUUAUGGUGGGUGGUUGGUCACUGUCGGGUUCCCUUUAGUUUAGGUUGGGUGGACGCGUUUAGUUUUCGUCGGUUUAAGGUUUAACCUUUACCCGGUUAAAACCGGAACGGAACCGUACCCUAGACCGUCCGUGUAAACCUUAAAAGUCGUACUUAGUCGGGACGGGUAAGGUUCGUUCGGGGUAGGGGACGAACGAACGGCCAACCAACGGGGAGGGUAAGUGG